AGUGUCAAAUAGCCAUCAUACUUCAAUGAGAGGCAAUGACAUGAGCGACAACAUCCGUGUUGGGUUGAUUGGGUAUGGUUAUGCGAGCAAAACCUUCCAUGCGCCCCUGAUUGCGGGCCGCCGCGCGUUGGCUCGUCGAGCAACAAAAUCUGGCUGGCGGCAUAGACCCAACGACCGAUCACCACUUUUUGCUGAUUGCCACCAGAAAGCGUGCCGAUGGGUGUUUCGCUACUGGCAGCCUUGACCGUCAUCCGCUGCAUCACCUCUUCGGUCAGGCGGCGGAUGGUGGACCAUUGCAGCACACCGUUGGUGCUGAUUUUUGGGCGACGGUUGUCCCGGUUUAAGCGUGUAGGCUGGUUUUCCAGGCAAAUCCGGAAAACUAAGGCUGAGGCGUGAUGACGAGGCACUACGGUGCUGAAGCAACAAAUGCCCUGCUUCCAGGAAAAGCCUCUAAGCAUCAGGUAACAUCAAAUCGUACCCCAAACCGACACAGGUGGUCAGGUAGAGAAUACCAAGGCGCUUGAGAGAACUCGGGUGAAGGAACUAGGCAAAAUGGUGCCGUAACUUCGGGAGAAGGCACGCUGAUAUGUAGGUGAAGUCCCUUGCGGAUGGAGCUGAAAUCAGUCGAAGAUACCAGCUGGCUGCAACUGUUUAUUAAAAACACAGCACUGUGCAAACACGAAAGUGGACGUAUACGGUGUGACGCCUGCCCGGUGCCGGAAGGUUAAUUGAUGGGGUUAGCGCAAGCGAAGCUCUUGAUCGAAGCCCCGGUAAACGGCGGCCGUAACUAUAACGGUCCUAAGGUAGCGAAAUUCCUUGUCGGGUAAGUUCCGACCUGCACGAAUGGCGUAAUGAUGGCCAGGCUGUCUCCACCCGAGACUCAGUGAAAUUGAACUCGCUGUGAAGAUGCAGUGUACCCGCGGCAAGACGGAAAGACCCCGUGAACCUUUACUAUAGCUUGACACUGAACAUUGAGCCUUGAUGUGUAGGAUAGGUGGGAGGCUUUGAAGUGUGGACGCCAGUCUGCAUGGAGCCGACCUUGAAAUACCACCCUUUAAUGUUUGAUGUUCUAACGUUGACCCGUAAUCCGGGUUGCGGACAGUGUCUGGUGGGUAGUUUGACUGGGGCGGUCUCCUCCUAAAGAGUAACGGAGGAGCACGAAGGUUGGCUAAUCCUGGUCGGACAUCAGGAGGUUAGUGCAAUGGCAUAAGCCAGCUUGACUGCGAGCGUGACGGCGCGAGCAGGUGCGAAACCAUCGGCAGCCACGGUCCGACCUAUUACAACCGCUAUCCGCCGCAGUUCAGGAAAUUUACCCCAACCUGCGACACCAAUGAGAUC
rnacentral:rRNA from 1 species